rnacentral:rRNA from 1 species
CUCUGUGACUCCUACGGGAGGCAGCAGUGGGGAAUAUGCACAAUGGGGGAAACCCUGAUGCAGCCAUGCCGCGUGUGUGAAGAAGGCCUUCGGGUUGUAAAGCACUUUCAGUAGGGAGGAAGGUAGUGUAGUUAACACCUGCACUAUUUGACGUUACCUACAGAAGAAGCACCGGCUAACUCCGUGCCAGCAGCCGCGGUAAUACGGAGGGUGCGAGCGUUAAUCGGAAUUACUGGGCGUAAAGCGCAUGCAGGCGGCCUGUUAAGUCAGAUGUGAAAGCCCCGGGGCUUAACCUCGGAAUUGCAUUUGAAACUGGCAGGCUAGAGUCUUGUAGAGGGGGUAGAAUUUCAGGUGUAGCGGUGAAAUGCGUAGAGAUCUGAAGGAAUACCAGUGGCGAAGGCGGCCCCCUGGACAAAGACUGACGCUCAGAUGCGAAAGCGUGGGGAGCAAACAGGAUUAGAUACCCUGGUAG